UAUAAAAUUGAUAAACCUGUAGCCAGAUUCAUUAAAACAAGCAAACAAACAAAAAACAGGAGAGGACUCAAUAAAACCACAAAUUAAAGAGAAGAAAUAACAAAGACCACAAAAAUACAAAAGACUAUAAUAGAAUAUUAUGAAAAUAUAUAUGCCAACCUAGAACAAAUGAAUACAACCUAGAACAAAUGGAUAAAUUCCUAGAAUGACAAAACCUACCCAAUCUGAAUUAAAAAGAAAUACAAAAUUUGAACAGACUGCUUAUCAGCAAUGAAUUGAUUAGUAAUCAAAAACUUCCCAAUUAACAAAACUCAAGGACCAGAAAGUUUCAGAGGCAUCUUUUACCAAGUAUUUAAAGAAGGGUUAAAAAAAAGAGAGAAGGCUGAGCAAGAAGGUAGAGGAGUAGGGGUUCUUAACUCACCUGGCCCCACCAACUUACCUAGAUAACAUUCAAACCAUCCUGAAAACCUACAAUUCGACCUGAGAUUUAAAGAGAGAAUAGCUGGAAUGCUACAGAGAGAAGGGUUUUCACAUCUAACAAGGUAGGAAGGCAGAAAAAAAAAGAAUCAAGUGAUCAAGUGGAGGACCAGCACUGCAAGGAGCUGGGUUACAGCUAGGUGGUGAAAGGCUCCAGGACAGACAAGCUCAGGCCUGGAGAAGAGGGAACUUAAAAAAAUCCACACCGGAUUCUUCCCAGAUCGAAAAGCGCUUGGCAGGAAAAUUGAGCCAAAUCACAGAAGGGGCAGUGAAGCCUAAAGUUUCUCAGAGUUUGGAGGGAGUGCGCCUGGGGGAAACAGCGCCACAAACUGGGCCCAUCUCUGUAAAGGGCUGGAGUGCACACCUGGCAGGGCAUCUAGGAAAAGCCGGUGGGUCAGGUGGGAGACUCUGGAAGGAGGAAUCUCUGCCCUCUUUCCUGUGGGAGCACACACCCUGGAAGCGCAAUUCCAGCAGCGCAGGGCCCCGGAUUUCAGGGUGCCGAGCCAACACAGUCCAUGAUUCUGAAUUCCCCCUGGGACAGGAAGCAACAAGGACACAGGACAGCAAGGACUCUCCUGCUGCUGGGUGCCGCCAAGCUGUGCAUAUCCGUGCAUGUGCGCCGCCCGGGAGCAUCUAAGCCAGAGCGGACUCGGAGACUGCAUCAGUUACUGCUGGGAGCUGACUCCAGGGCUGGAGACAUGGCCCCUGCCAGUGUUGUUGUUCCUCCUUUUGUCACACUGUGCCUGGGAGAGGCGGGACUGCGAGGGAAGAGAAAGCUCAUGGGGUAAACAGCUCCCACUGAGCCCAGCACCUGGCAGGGGUCAGGGCAGCUCCCCCAGGUACAUACACCUAAGAACCAGCACAGCAGGCCCCUCCCCAGAAGACCAUGUGGAAGAACAGGGGAAGAACAAGUUCUUGACCAAGUAGCACUGGAAAGCUCCAGGGCAAGUCGAGGGAUUUACCGUAUAUAAAACCGGAGGGUACCAAUCCUAUUUUAUUUUCUUCCUUUUUCCAGUACAACUCGUUUUUAUAUCAGACUGUAAAUUUCCAUUUUUUCUCUUUUCUCACCUUAACUACAAUAUUUUACCACCUCUUCCCUUGAGACUUUCAUACUUCUACAAUUACAUGACUUACAUAUAUUUUCCACAUCUAGAUUCCUUUUAACAUACUCAACUUAAAUUUCAGAAAUAUAUGAUACUUUUGUUUGUUUGUUUUGUUUUGUGUUUUUGGUUUCCUCUGCCUCGUUUUGUUCUACAAUGGCAGAAGUUAAUACCUUCUAAAACAUGACCAUCAUGCACCCAGAACCAAGUAGUAUACCAUGCUGGUUCAUUCUGUGAGUUUCCUUAUUCCCAUUCUGCCCACCUCUUUUAUCUCAUUUAUGUUUUGGUGGUCAAUGUUAUAGUUCUCUACAAAUAUUUCUGAUUUAUAUAAAUUUGGGACUGAGCAUCUUUUAACAUACAGAACUUAAUAUACUCAAAACCAAGAGAAUCACCCUCUAGGACACCUUCUCCCUCCACUACAACUUCAACACCACCACCAUCUCCCAGUCCCCCCCUUUUUUUCUUCUCUUUUUUUUCUCCUUUUUCUUUUUCUUUGCUUCUUUGGGAUUAUUGGCCUUUUAUUUUUUACAACUUUGUUUUAAAAUUUGUUUUUCACUAUACUGGUGUUUUUUCUUUAUUUCGUUCUAAUCUUUUUUUUUUUUUCAAUUUCUGGUCUUUGACCCUGGCAGAAUCAUCUAAGGGGAAAUUUACUUAGGUCGUGAUUGAUAUUCUUGACUCAGCCCGCUCAUACACCCACUCUGCACUGAGCAAAAUGACUAGAAAGAAGAACUCACCACAAAAGAAAGAAUCUGAAACAGUACUCUCUGCCACAGAGUUACAGAACUUGGAUUACAAUUCAAUGUCAGAAAGCCAAUUCAGAAGCAUAUUAUAAAGCUACUGCUGGCUCUGGCAAAAAGCACAAAGGAUUCAACAGACCUCAUGACAGCAGAUUUAUUUCUAAUCAGACCAAAAUUAAAAAUCAAUUAAAUGAGAUGCAAUCCAAACUGGAGGUCCUAACAAUGAGGGUUAAUGAAGUAGAAGAAAGAGUUUGUGACAUAGAAGACAAGUUGAUGGCAAGGAAGGAAGCUGAGGAAAAAAAAAGAGAAGAACAAUUAAAGACCAUGAGGAAAGGUUAAGGGAAAUAAAUGAUAGCCUCAGAAGGAAAAAUCUGCAUAUAAUUGGGGUUCCAGAGAGCGCCGAGAGGGACAGAGGGACAGAAAGUAUAUCUGAACAAAUGAUAGUGGAGAACUUCCUAAUUUAGGGAGGGAAACAGACAUUCAGAUACAGGAGAUAGAGAGGUUCCCACCAAAAUCAAUAAAAAACAUUCAACACCUCUACAUGUAAUAGUGAAACUUGCAAAUUCCAAAGAUAAAGAGAAAAUCCUUAAACCAGCAAGAGACAAGAGAGCCCUAACUUAAAUGAGGAGAAAUGUAAGAAUAACAGCAGACAUCUCCACAGAAACCUGGCAGGCCAGAAAGGGCUGGUAGGAUAUAUUCAGGUUACUAAAUGAUAAGAACAUGCAACAAGAAUUCUUUAUCCAGCAAGGCUGUCAUUCAGAAUAGGAGAGAUAAAGAGCUUGCAAGAUAGUCAGAAACUAAAAGAAUAUGUGACCAUCAAAACAGUUCUGCAAAAAAUAUUAAGGGUGACCCUGUAAAAGAAAUAGGAAGCCCAAAGAAAUAGUCCACAAAAACAGGGACUAAAUAGGUAUUAUGAUGACACUAAAUUCAUACCUUUCAAUAUUAACUCUGAACGUGAAUGGGAUAAAUGAUCCCAUCAAAAGAUGCAGGGUUUCAGACUGGAUGAAAGAGCAAUACCCAUCUAUUUGUUGUCUCCAAAAGACUCAUUUGAGACCUAUGAUGAACAAUAUCCCUGAUGAGCCUUGAAAAUGAAAGGUUGGAGAACUAUUUACCAUUCAAUGGUCUUCAAAAGAAAGCUUGGGUAGCAAUCAUCUUAUCAGAUACAUUAAAGUAUAUCUCAAAGACUGUAGUAAUAGAUGAAGAGGGGCAUUAUAUCAUACUUAAAGGGCAUAUCCAACAAGAAGAGCUAACAAUCAUGAUAUUUAGGCUCCUAAUGUGGGACUGCCAAGUAUAUCAAUCAAUUAAUAACCAAAGUAAAGACAUACUUAGAUAAUAAUACACUAAGAGUAGGAGACUUCAACAUGGCAUUUUCUGUAAGGGACAGAUUUUCUAAGCACAACAUGACCAAAGAAAUAAGACCUGUAUAUGGUACACUGCACCAGAUGGAUUUCAGAGAUAUAUACAGAAAUUUCCAUCUGAACACAACUGAAUGCACAUUGUUCUCAAGUGCACAUGGAACUUUCUCGAGAAUAGACCACAUACUGGGUCACAAAUCAUGUCUCAAACAAUACCAAAGAUUGGGAUUGUCCCCUGCAUAUUUUCAGACAACAAUGCUUUGAAACUAGAACUCAAUCACAAGAAGAAAUUUAGAAGGAACUCAAACACGUGGAGGUUAAAAAGCUGCCUGAUAAAGGUGAAUGGAUCAACCAGGAAAUUAGAGCAGAAUUAAAAAUAUUCAAGAAACUAAUUAAAAUAAAUAUACAAUGGUUCAAAAUCUUUGGGAUACAGCAAAAGCAGUCCUAAGAGGGAAAUACAUCGCA
rnacentral:lncRNA from 1 species